rnacentral:rRNA from 1 species
UGGGGGAUAUUGCACAAUGGGCGCAAGCCUGAUGCAGCGACGCCGCGUGGGGGAUGAAGGCCUUCGGGUUGUAAACUUCUUUUGCUCUGAACAAGGCGCACUUUGGGGUGUGUUGAGUGUAGGGGUUGAUUAGCGCCGGCUAACUACGUGCCAGCAGCCGCGGUAAUACGUAGGGCGCGAGCGUUGUCCGGAAUUAUUGGGCGUAAAGGGCUUGUAGGUGGCUGGUUGCGUCUGGCGGGAAAGCUCAUGGCUUAACUGUGGGUUUGCGGUGGGUACGGGCUGGCUUGAGGGCAGUAGGGGAGGCUGGAAUUCCUGGUGUAGCGGUGGAAUGCGCAGAUAUCAGGAGGAAUACCGGUGGCGAAGGCGGGUCUCUGGGCUGUUACUGACACUGAGGAGCGAAAGCAUGGGGAGCGAACAGG